AAACUGUAUUUUGGCCAUUUUUAGGAUAGUAAUGGGCAAAUUUGUUACCGCCCAGCACCCCUUGGUAAUGGUGGGCAGUAUUUCUAUAUUGAGCAUUCACUCAAAAAGUUUGGGUACAAAGGCAAGAGCAAUGGCCAAGGGGAGGUUGAGAUAACUGAUUGGAAGAAAGAAUCAAAAGGAUCAAGUAUUACACCUUAUGCUCUUGUUGAUGUGGAAACUGGAACAGCUUACGGAAUAAAAGUUCUCAUUGUGACACCAACUUCAAAGACAACCAGUUACUUUUUGUGUCCACAGCCUCCUUCUCCUGGUAGUAAUAUUCUCACUGUUAAAGACAGCAAGAUUGGCAUUAAAGGUGACGUGAAUGUUAGCUGGAAAGUUUAUAGGUGUAGCAAGUCUGAUCAGAUUUAUAUUUAUCCUGUUAAUGGUAAAUCACAUGUAUCAAGCUCACUCAGUAAUAAGAACAAGUCACUAGAGGGUGAAGGAAAAUUGAAGGGUCCUGAUAAACCUGGUGAAUAUGAGGUUCGUUAUUAUCCAGCAUGGCUCAAAGGUUCAAGCACUGGUCAUCGUCAUGAUAUCUACAUUGCAAGUGCUAGAUUUACUGUUGCUGUCUAAACUAGUAAUAGUAUAAGUUUAUUAGAUUUUAUAAUUUGUUACUUAACUGCUGCUUUAAAAACUAUUUUUAUA